rnacentral:rRNA from 1 species
CCUACGGGAGGCAGCAGUGGGGGAUAUUGCACAAUGGGGGAAACCCUGAUGCAGCGACGCCGCGUGGGCGAAGAAGUAUUUCGGUAUGUAAAGCCCUAUCAGCAGGGAAGAAGAAAUGACGGUACCUGAGUAAGAAGCACCGGCUAAAUACGUGCCAGCAGCCGCGGUAAUACGUAUGGUGCAAGCGUUAUCCGGAUUUACUGGGUGGAAAGGGAGCGCAGGCGGCACGGCAAGCCUGAUGUGAAAGCCCGCGGCCCAACCGCGGGACUGCAGUGGGAACUACCGGGCUGGAGUGCCGGAGAGGUAGGCGGAAUUCCUAGUGUAGCGGUGAAGUGCGUAGAUAUUAGGAGGAACACCAGUGGCGAAGGCGGCCUACUGGACGGUGACUGACGCUGAGGCUCGAAAGCGUGGGGAGCAAACAGGAUUAGAUACCCUUGUAGUC